rnacentral:lncRNA from 1 species
GGCGCCCAUUCGUCGAGAGCGCCGUCGGGAAGCCGGCUGAGCACCACUGAUUAGAAAAUCGAUCGCCGCCAGCGUACUGCAGAAACCACGGCUGGCGGAGCGCCAGACACCCAGUCACGUGACGCGACAGAAAUAGCCGCAGCAAAAGCGGCUUCGCGCCGCAGUGCGCCCAGGGGGCUGUCAUCCCGAGCUUUCCUAUUUGCCGGGCACCCGGAUCUUUAACAUUACCCGUGACGUCAGCGGACCGGACACUUCUCAGCUGGCCUUCCCCGCAAAUUUGGCCUUGAAUUCGAUUUUGAGGGUCACGGACUCACGGUUGUAAACAAGUUCAUUUCCUGUUUCUUGCUUGUGUUGUACCUUGGUUGUACCCUCGAGUUGAUUGUUUGAAACCAUUGAAACUUAAAUUGAUUGAAUGAUUCAGGACUUGAUUCAGGAUGUCGUACUGUGCGGUGGCUACAUGCCGAAGUUACCGAAGGACUGGCAAGUUCUGCACAAAAUCGUUUUUUUCGGUUCCCGAAGGAUCCAGCCACAUGUGCGACCUGGGUGCAUAGAUGUUCGAGGCAGGAUCCUAUAAAUGUGUUGCAGGCAAGGACUUGCUCAGACCACUUUCUUGAUUCAGAUUAUGAUCCUUCCUACCUUGUGAAAGCAUCCCUGAUGCCAGGUGUGAGCCCAUGUCUGAAGACUGAUGCGGUUCCAACACAGAAUCUGCGCAGUGCUGGGUCUUCGGGACCGGCGCAACAAAGCACUCGGGCUUCAAGGAGUGAUCGCCGACAGAUGAAGUCCCUUGCGCAGGACAUCAUCAACACUGAGGGAGUGUCCUCAUCUCUGAGUGAUAGAUCAAGGUAAAUCGGCAGGAAGCAGCUGAAUCAGAUGGAGAACGCACUGCGUCUGCCGGCGGCGUCCAGUGCCGACAUCUUUACCCCGGCAUCACUCGCCAGUGUGGAGAGCGCCGUCACUUUCUGUCUUCUGAGGCUGUCAGACAGUUCAGCCGGGCAGCGAGCAGCUCCCGGCGCACCAUCACUGGGAGCCAGGCCGGCCUACGCGAGGAGCGGAUCACUUGUGCUUACGACUUCGUCCUGGCGCUGGUUUAGUGAGCGGAUCCGAAGGUGGACCCGCGUCGUCACCAGCUUCCUCGCGAUCCUGGCGUCCAGAGAUGGACGCUUUACCUGGAGUGCCGCCAGCAGCCUCUGCACGAUACCGGACUGACCGUCGACGGUAGCACCCAUCAUCAACCGGAAGAUGACCUCGAACUCUUCCACGAUGGUCAUCCAGUUCGGCGAUGGCACGGUGAGCCUACCCCGGCUGAGGGCGCGGACCCAGGGCGUGAUCACGCGAGCUGCCGGCUUGGCCUCUCUGGACGCGCGCAGUGCUGACCCCUGUUGAACAGUAAUUUUGGUUCAUUCAUUUUGUGCGGAUUCGUGGUUGCGUGGUUGACAGUCGCUUUUGCUCAUUCAUCUUGUGCCGACUCGUGGUUGCGUUAACCAUUCGUGAUUGCGUUGUGCCGACUCGUGGUUGCGUUAUCCAUUCGUGGUUGCGUUAACCAUUCGUGAUUGCGUUGUGCCGACUCGUGGUUGCGUUAACCAUUCGUGGUUGCGUUAACCAUUCGUGAUUGCGUUGUGCCGACUCGUGGUUGCGUUAACCAUUCGUGAUUGCGUUGUGCCGACUCGUGGUUGCGUUACCCAUCGUCUGUGUGCCCGUGUGUGCGGGGACACGGACCACAUGUGCUCCCUCACUGGAUGGAUAUUGGAUAGACAUGCGCGAGCAGUGUUGGGGUCGUUUUGUUUCCUGUCAUGGAAUACAUCUGUUGGUGGUUCUUAA